AUUGAACGCUGGCGGCAGGCCUAACACAUGCAAGUCGAGCGGAUGAAGGGAGCUUGCUCCUGGAUUCAGCGGCGGACGGGUGAGUAAUGCCUAGGAAUCUGCCUGGUAGUGGGGGAUAACGUCCGGAAACGGGCGCUAAUACCGCAUACGUCCUGAGGGAGAAAGUGGGGGAUCUUCGGACCUCACGCUAUCAGAUGAGCCUAGGUCGGAUUAGCCAGUUGGUGGGGUAAAGGCCUACCAAGGCGACGAUCCGUAACUGGUCUGAGAGGAUGAUCAGUCACACUGGAACUGGGACACGGUCCAGACUCCUACGGGAGGCAGCAGUGGGGAAUAUUGGACAAUGGGCGAAAGCCUGAUCCAGCCAUGCCGCGUGUGUGAAGAAGGUCUUCGGAUUGUAAAGCACUUUAAGUUGGGAGGAAGGGCAGUAAGUUAAUACCUUGCUGUUUUGACGUUACCAACAGAAUAAGCACCGGCUAACUUCGUG
rnacentral:rRNA from 1 species